rnacentral:rRNA from 1 species
CCUACGGGAGACAGCAGUGGGGAAUAUUGCACAAUGGGGGAAACCCUGAUGCAGCGACGCCGCGUGAGUGAAGAAGUAUCUCGGUAUGUAAAGCUCUAUCAGCAGGGAAGAAAAUGACGGUACCUGAUUAAGAAGCCCCGGCUAACUACGUGCCAGCAGCCGCGGGAAUACGUAGGGGGCAAGCGUUAUCCGGAUUUACUGGGUGUAAAGGGAGCGUAGACGGCAGCACAAGUCUGGAGUGAAAUGCCGGGGCUUAACCCCGGAACUGCUUUGGAAACUGUGCAGCUAGAGUGCAGGAGAGGUAAGUGGAAUUCCUAGUGUAGCGGUGAAAUGCGUAGAUAUUAGGAGGAACACCAGUUGCGAAGGCGGCUUACUGGACUGUAACUGACGUUGAGGCUCGAAAGCGUGGGGAGCAAACAGGAUUAGAUACCCCAGUAGUC